rnacentral:lncRNA from 1 species
UUCGUCCGAGGUUUAUAACUAGCUUAUAGACCUUGAAUAAAUGAUUGGAUUAAACUUGUAGACAAAACGCGAGAAUUUUUCAUCAAAAAUUUUUGAAAAUGACAAAAUAUGUUGGAAAACCUCCGCAAGUGUGAUAUAAGUUCGUUAUAAACCGAGUAAGUCGGUUUAUAACUCUUAGGCCUCUUACUUCCAGUCCAUGUAGGUGGAUUUAUUUGGGGUUUUGUUCAUUUCAGUCCUCUCUCUGUCCACUCCUGUAUCAGAUGCAAAUACCUGAAACUAAGAAAUCAAUGAACUUCAACAUUUCAGGUAAAAAACCUAUAGUAUUAUUUUUCAGGUAGUUGCAUGAUACAUUCAAGCCUUUAAAU